rnacentral:ribozyme from 1 species
AAGAGGUAAUAAUAAUAUAAUAAUGAAAUGAAAAUUAUUUUUUCAAUUAUUGUUUUCUGGAAUUUCGUAUUUUGAUUUUGUAUGUUUUUUUUUCCUUUUUCUGCUUUUCAGAUUCGUAUCAUAUUAUGUACUACAUACAGAGAGUGAAAGUUUUUUUUUCUACACCCAUCCCUCCAAAACACCAACACACAAAACAAAACCCCACCAACACGUUUGACAUAUUUUCUUUUUUUUUU